rnacentral:lncRNA from 1 species
AUCAGCCCCGGCGCUCUCUCAUCCCUUCUCUCUUCCUUGGUGCUUCUUUUUCCUGCUCGGUGAGUUUGUUUGUUUGUUUGUUUUUGAGACAGAGUCUCACUUUGCUUCCCAGGCUGGAGUGCAGUGGUGCGAUCUCAGCUUACUGCAGCCUCCGCUUCCGGGGUUCAAGCGAUUCUCCUGCCUCAGCCUGCCAAGUAGCUGGGACUACCGGCGCCCACCACCACGCCUGGCUAAUUUUUGAAUUUUUAGUAGAGAGUGGGUUUCACUAUGUUGGCCAGGCUGGUCUGGAACGCCUGACCUCAAGUGAUCCGUCCGCCUCGGCCUUCCAAAGUUCUGGGAUUACAGGCGUGAGCCACCGCGCCCGGCCUGAGUGAGUCUUAAUCCGUGGCCAUCUGCGUUCCUGCAGGCUUCAUCUGGCCCUAUGGUCCCCUGAUGAGAAGAAUAAUGUCUGGGGUGAAGGUGAAGCACCCAGCCCAAGACUCAGCAGCCAGGAAGUGGCCCAGCGCUCUUUAUACCACGGGUGCAGGAAUUCACACAGAAAAGUGGAGGCCAAGGCGUGAGAAUUCCUCAAUGACUGCCCUCUAAAGGAAGAG